UACAGAGGGUGCUAGCGUUGUUCGGAAUCAUUGGGCGUAAAGGGCGUGUAGGCGGUUUGUUAAGUCAUGUGUGAAAUCCCUCGGCUCAACCGGGGAACGACGCAUGAAACUGGCAAGCUAGAGUACCAAAGAGGGGGGUGGAAUUCCCGGUGUAGCGGGUGAAAUGCGUAGAUAUCGUAAGGAAGACCAGUGGCGAAGGCGGGUCUCUGGACAGUUCCUGACACUGAGACACGAAGGCCAGGGGAGCAAACGGG
rnacentral:rRNA from 1 species